rnacentral:lncRNA from 1 species
AAAACCUCUUCUCUUGUCUCCUAAUGGGGCAACGAUUUUCAUGAAAUAAAUAAAUAAAAUCUUGAUAUUGUGUUAUAAUGAAGUUAAGUUUCGAUGAUACGGCUAAGUAAGGUAUUCUUUGGAGAGCAAGAAAGAGUGAUGGCCCAACACAUCUUUUAAUUAAACCGGGACCUCUCAGACCUAACUCUUUUGAUCAUUGUGAUUGUGAGUUCCAAUCCAUUUGGUAGAUCCAAAGAUGUAUUGGUGCAUUUGAUAAAUAUCCAAAGAUUAAUAGGAUGUAAUAUGUUAGGUCACGAGCUCCUCCUGUAUGGACCAUAGUACAUGUGAUAUGUAUGCACUAGCAAGUCCCAAACAAUUAAUUCAAACACAUGCC